rnacentral:lncRNA from 1 species
GUGCAGGUAUAGACAUACGUAAGGCUCAGAAUCUCCAAAAAUGAUCUUCUAGGUGGAGCUUCGAAGGGAGUCCAGCACCCACCUCCUGUGUGGCUCUUCUCUCUGUAGUGGGUCUGUUCCUCCACCAGAGGGAACUUCCACCUCACUCUGGGACCUGGGACCAGGCUGGUACCUCCUUGUCCUCAUCACCGGCUUACCCUGAUAGGGGUGAACAGAGCAUGGACUCCUCUCGUGCUGCCCAUUUGGACACAACUGACACAAUCACUACCUGAUAGCUGUUGACUGACAACAGGCCUCAAACAAAUGCACAGAGAUGGGUAAAAAAGAAGGUCUGGUGAUGGAAAACCAAAUAAGCCUGUCAGUGGGAAUGCAGGGAACUCUAUUUUAGUAGUUAUUGGUAAACAGAGGGUAAAGGGGAGCAAUUCAACUCUACUGAGUCAUCAGUAGAAGGGUGACAAUGCCCCCUAUCUUCUCUUUAUGGGCUCUGUCAG